rnacentral:rRNA from 1 species
GAUGAACGCUGGCGGCGUGCCUAAUACAUGCAAGUCGAGCGAACGGACGAGAAGCUUGCUUCUCUGAUGUUAGCGGCGGACGGGUGAGUAACACGUGGAUAACCUACCUAUAAGACUGGGAUAACUUCGGGAAACCGGAGCUAAUACCGGAUAAUAUUUUGAACCGCAUGGUUCAAAAGUGAAAGACGGUUUUGCUGUCACUUAUAGAUGGAUCCGCGCUGCAUUAGCUAGUUGGUAAGGUAACGGCUUACCAAGGCAACGAUGCAUAGCCGACCUGAGAGGGUGAUCGGCCACACUGGAACUGAGACACGGUCCAGACUCCUACGGGAGGCAGCAGUAGGGAAUCUUCCGCAAUGGGCGAAAGCCUGACGGAGCAACGCCGCGUGAGUGAUGAAGGUCUUCGGAUCGUAAAACUCUGUUAUUAGGGAAGAACAGAUGUGUAAGUAACUGUGCACAUCUUGACGGUACCUAAUCAGAAAGCCACGGCUAACUACGUG